AUACGUAGGGGGCAAGCGUUAUCCGGAUUUACUGGGUGUAAAGGGAGCGUAGGUGGUUCGGUAAGUCAGAUGUGAAAGCCCGGGGCUCAACCCCGGGACUGCAUUUGAAACUAUCGAACUAGAGUGCAGGAGAGGUAAGUGGAAUUCCUAGUGUAGCGGUGAAAUGCGUAGAUAUUAGGAGGAACACCAGUGGCGAAGGCGGCUUACUGGACUGUAACUGACACUGAGGCUCGAAAGCGUGGGGAGC
rnacentral:rRNA from 1 species